GUCUUUGUUCAUUUGAAGAUGUCCCAGGCGUCUUCAAUGUGUUCUCUUUUGUGUAUGACUAUAAUAUUUCCAAUGACCAGGUUUUGUGUAAUUUUUUUUCCUUUUUAUCUAGUCUCUUCUUUAGUCUCUCAACCAUAUUUUUACCUUUAUUGAAAUCUUCACUUCUAAGAUUUCUAUUUGGUUCUUUUAUUUAAAAAAAAAGUCUAUUGCUCUGCCAAAUUUCCCUUUUAUAUUCUGUAUUAUCUUUCCAAUUCCAUUCAAUUGCUUAUAUGUACUGUCUCUUAGAUCUCAUUAAGAUUUUUAUAUGCCUUCUUUUAAAUUGGGCUUUAAUUCCUUUUUAAAUUCUUUUUUCAUCAGUGAAGCUGGGUAAGCGGCUCAGUUGUUUAGAGCCUUUCUUGUUCUUCCAGAGGAUCAGAGUUCAGUUGUUAGCACCCAUACUGGGCAGCUCACAAAUGCCUGUAACGCCAGCUCCAAAGUAUCCAGCGCCCUCUUCUGGCGUCUCUGGGCACCUACAAAUACCACAUACACUCACAUUGACACAAAAAGUUGUACUUUGAUUUUUAAGACAGGGUUUCUCUAUGUAGUCUUGACUGUUGUGGAAUUCGUUCUGUAGACCAGGCUAACAUCAAACUCACAGAAAUACUCCUGUCUCUGCCUCCCAAGUGCUGAGAUUAAAGUCAUGGGCCAUCAUUGAUUGCUCAGCUAAACACAUAGAUUUUAUAAAUAAAUCUUUGAAAUUAUUUAGGCAGUUGUGGUGGUACAAGCCAGUAGGGCAUGGUAAAGAGGGUCACAAAAUUGAGGCCAGUGUGGUUUACAUCAUUUAUACAUUUUCUCAUUUUUAAAAAAAGUAACAUGUUUAUUAGCAUGCACAAGAUUACAUGCCAGAUUACUAUACAAGAUUAUGGGUUUCUCUGUGGCCAUGCACAGACUCACGAGGAAUUCAGAGCUGAAGACAGGCACAGAUGUAUGUUCCAACACAUCUCACGCCAGUGCAGCACUCAGGUGUCCCUGAUUGAUGGGGAUGAAGGAACACUAUAGUUCCCAUUGCCUGCUUCGUGAGCAUAGCACCCUCACUGCAGGACAGUGAACAGGCUUAGGCUACUCCUCUGGGCCAAUUUGUGUUUGCAAGAUAGCUUUGUCCAAACCAAUGAAAAAUGAAAUGUCUGGAGUCUCAUAAAUGGGACUGUACUGAGUGUUCUGGCCCCUACACAGUGCAAAUUCAGACAGUGGAUCGCUUCUUAAAGUGGAUCCUGGCUACAGAACCUAGAGCGUUCCCUGGGAGAUGCCAAAAGAAUGCUGAACAAUGUUCAGAGUACAGGGGGAUUACUGGCCUUUCUGAUAGCUAGAAUUAGCAUCUAGAUCAGAAGGUCUCAACCUGUGGGUUGCGACCCGUUUGCAAAUGUCUGUCUCCAGAACUAUUUACACUAUGAUUCAUAACAGUAGCGAGAUUACAGUUAUGAAGGAGCAAUGAAAAUUAUUUGAUGGUUGGAGGGAUCACCACUCCAUGAGGAAAGGGUCACAGCAUUAGGAGGGUUGCAAACCACUGAUCUAGAUGCUGUUGGAGUUAACCCUGAAACUCUCUUUCCCUCCAGUCACCCAGCUCAAAAUGCAGUUACAUACAUACUUGUUUUGUUGGCAGAAAUAGUUUGGUUGUUUUACUCAACUUCGUUGAGAUAGAGUGAGUGCUGGGACUGUCUGUUCCGUCAUCUUGUCCCUCUCAGCUUAAUUUCAAAGCCAUAUAAGCUUUUGUAUAUACCAAAGAUCAUCCAACAAAACUGAUGUUUUAGAAUCGAUGGUGAGUUUUAAUUGUAGAAGACGGGAAGGAUUUGGUCAAGUGGUUUAAAGAGACAGUAGAGAUGGUAGACAGGCAAGUGUAUAUGAAUCUGGAGUUCAUGGAAGAAAUGCAACUGGAGGUCAGUUUGGAUGUAGUCAACCAUUGGCAUGAUAGAUAGGUUAUGAAGCAUGUGUCAGGAGAGAAUGAGAGGGAUAAGACAGGGAUAAGAGAGAAAGGAGGAAAGAUCAAGAAUUGAGCAUAUGUUUCUUCCAAAUAAUAGAGACUGAAAGGUAAGAAAGAUCUAGAAGAAGGGACUAAGGAUAAAAUGUUUCACUGGGAAGUGAGUAAUGAAAAUUGUACCAUCAGUCAUCAACCAAGUGUUUCAGGGAAGGAAAUGGGAUGAAUCUUGUCUAAUGGGUAGACUUAAAUUUAGAAAAGGGGUGGGGGGUAACAUGGGAUCAGAUAGCAGUCCUGAACUUGACUUCUAGAGUUCAUUGAUGACUUUACAAAGAACAGUUUAGAUCACGAGGUUGAUUUUUUUUUCCCUGU
rnacentral:lncRNA from 1 species